rnacentral:rRNA from 1 species
GAAAGCCUGACGGAGCAACGCCGCGUGAGUGAUGAAGGUCUUCGGAUCGUAAAACUCUGUUAUUAGGGAAGAACAAAUGUGUAAGUAACUAUGCACGUCUUGACGGUACCUAAUCAGAAAGCCACGGCUAACUACGUGCCAGCAGCCGCGGUAAUACGUAGGUGGCAAGCGUUAUCCGGAAUUAUUGGGCGUAAAGCGCGCGUAGGCGGUUUUUUAAGUCUGAUGUGAAAGCCCACGGCUCAACCGUGGAGGGUCAUUGGAAACUGGAAAACUUGAGUGCAGAAGAGGAAAGUGGAAUUCCAUGUGUAGCGGUGAAAUGCGCAGAGAUAUGGAGGAACACCAGUGGCGAAGGCGACUUUCUGGUCUGUAACUGACGCUGAUGUGCGAAAGCGUGGGGAUCAAACAGGAUUAGAUACCCUGGUAGUCCACGCCGUAAACGAUGAGUGCUAAGUGUUAGGGGGUUUCCGCCCCUUAGUGCU